UACAGAGGUCCCAAGCGUUGUUCGGAUUCACUGGGCGUAAAGGGUGCGUAGGCGGUCGGGUAAGUCUGGCGUGAAAUCUCCAAGCCUAACUUGGAAACUGCGUUGGAUACUAUCCGGCUCGAGGAAUGGAGGGGAGACUGGAAUACUUGGUGUAGCAGUGAAAUGCGUAGAUAUCAAGUGGAACACCAGUGGCGAAGGCGAGUCUCUGGACAUUUCCUGACGCUGAGGCACGAAAGCGUGGGGAGCGAACAGG
rnacentral:rRNA from 1 species